GAAAACUUCUCAGGUCCUCUGACAUCUUGAAGAGUGACUCCUCUGAGAUGCUCAGACUCAUGGCUUCUGCAGAGAAAUAGAGUCUAACUGACCAGAGUUUGAUUCACAAUCCAAAGCAAAAGGUCAGAGGUCAAGCUGCUCAUCAGACUGUCCAGAGGAAAACUAGUCAUAGUCAGUUUUUAGUUUGAAGGAAACUUCACAAAAUGUCCUUGGCUCCCAAAAAAAGAGGAAGCAAAGACCUGCCUCCUAGUUUGUCUGACUUCAUGGGCAAACGUGUUAACGAUGCAUCUUACAUCCAGCAGUUUGACAGCAGAAAUCCAACACUGGGAGAAAGUUUAAGAAUGUUCUUGAGGAUGUCUAAAGAUGUAAAAGAAAUACAGAAGGCCACAGAUGUACAAAGGACAGCAGGAGGACUGGGGGAGCAGGAGGCCGUUCAUUCACUGGAGGACUGACUUCAGCUUUUGGAUUUUAGCUGCUGUUGCAGGUGGAAGUGCUGUUGUGUAGGAGUUCUAACUACAAAAAUAUAAGUGCUGAAUGUGACCAAUCAGCUACUAGCUCUCAUUGCUGGAAUCUUCAGAGUCACUCCUGAAGAGCAUAAAAAGGUAUGAUGUUGCCAUCUAAGUCAGCUGAACAGAGUCAAAUGAGACAAAGAACAAACUCAGAAAUUUUUCCUACAAUUAAAGAGAAUGAAAAUAAAACCCCUUCCUGUUCCUCCACCCUGUGAGCCUGUACUGUUCACACUAACUAAGAAAUGAAGUAUGUGAAUAAAGGAUCAUCAGACUGUGAA